CCCAAAGCUCCCGGUGCAGCCGCCCUCGGGCCGGGCCCGGCUCCUCCAGCGGCACGCAAACGGACCCCGUGGCUGCAAGGUCCGCAACCGCUCCGUUUGGGGCACACAGAGCUCUGCCCCCCUGCAGCUGCUGCCUGGGCAGGGACGUGACAGCGCAGGGCAGGGGACAAAGCCCCACCAUCUCUGCAGUCUCCCAGCACCGGAGCGCAGCACCCUCCUGGAGCAGCACAUCCCUCGGCCACGCCGGGCCUGCAGGUUGGUGACUCCGGAGAGGUGGCUCUGAGCCGCGAGGGGACACAGGGGACAGGAGUGCCGAGCCAAAAGAAGCCAGGG